UCCCUGAUGGUCCGGUGGUUGAGACUCUGAGCUUCUGACCCAGGGGGCACAGGUUCAAUCCCUGGUCGGGCAA
rnacentral:tRNA from 1 species